UGGGGAAUAUUGCACAAUGGGCGGAAGCCUGAUGCAGCGACGCCGCGUGGGGGAUGAAGGCCUUCGGGUUGUAAACUCCUUUCGACAGGGACGAAGCGUAAGUGACGGUACCUGUAUAAGAAGCACCGGCUAACUACGUGCCAGCAGCCGCGGUAAUACGUAGGGUGCGAGCGUUGUCCGGAAUUACUGGGCGUAAAGAGCUCGUAGGUGGUUUGUCGCGUCGUCUGUGAAAUUCCGGGGCUUAACUCCGGGCGUGCAGGCGAUACGGGCUGACUUGAGUGCUGUAGGGGAGACUGGAAUUCCUGGUGUAGCGGUGAAAUGCGCAGAUAUCAGGAGGAACACCGAUGGCGAAGGCAGGUCUCUGGGCAGUAACUGACGCUGAGGAGCGAAAGCAUGGGUAGCGAACAGGAUUAGAUACCCUGGUAGUCCAUGCCGUNNNCGGUGGGCGCUAGGUGUAGGGGGCUUCCACGUCUUCUGUGCCGUAGCUAACGCAUUAAGCGCCCCGCCUGGGGAGUACGGCCGCAAGGCUA
rnacentral:rRNA from 1 species